AUACGGAGGGUGCGAGCGUUGUUCGGAAUUAUUGGGCGUAAAGCGCGUGUAGGCGGUUUGUUAAGUCUGAUGUGAAAGCCCCGGGCUCAACCUGGGAAGUGCAUUGGAUACUGGCAGACUUGAAUACGGGAGAGGGCAGUGGAAUUCCUGGUGUAGGAGUGAAAUGCGUAGAGAUCUGGAGGAAUACCGGUGGCGAAGGCGGCCCCCUGGACAAAGACUGACGCUCAGGUGCGAAAGCGUGGGGAGC
rnacentral:rRNA from 1 species